rnacentral:rRNA from 1 species
CCUACGGGGCGCAGCAGUGAGGAAUAUUGGUCAAUGGACGAGAGUCUGAACCAGCCAAGUAGCGUGAAGGAUGACUGCCCUAUGGGUUGUAAACUUCUUUUAUAUGGGAAUAACAUGUUCCACGUGUGGGAUUUUGUAUGUACCAUAUGAAUAAGGAUCGGCUAACUCCGUGCCAGCAGCCGCGGUAAUACGGAGGAUCCGAGCGUUAUCCGGAUUUAUUGGGUUUAAAGGGAGCGUAGGUGGAUUGUUAAGUCAGUUGUGAAAGUUUGCGGCUCAACCGUAAAAUUGCAGUUGAAACUGGCAGUCUUGAGUACAGUAGAGGUGGGCGGAAUUCGUGGUGUAGCGGUGAAAUGCUUAGAUAUCACGAAGAACUCCGAUUGCGAAGGCAGUUCACUGGACUGCAACUGACACUGAGGCUCGAAAGUGUGGGUAUCAAACAGGAUUAGAUACCCUUGUAGUC